rnacentral:rRNA from 1 species
UAACUGCGAGUGAAGAGGGAAGAGCUCAUCAUUGGAAUCUGGCAGUGUUGCACUGUCCGAGUUGUAGAUGAGGAGUAGUCCGUCUGGACUGCAUGGCGUCCAAGUACAAUAGGCCGUCAGUGGGACAUCAUAGAGGGUGACAAUCCCGUCCUUGAUGCCAAUGUGCAAGUCCGUUACGAUGGCUAUCUCAGAGAGUCGAGCAGUUUGGGAUUUGCUGCUUAAACAUGGGAGGUAGAUUCCUUCUAAAGCUAAAUACAGGCGAGAGACCGAUAGAGAACAAGUACCGCAAGGGAAAGAUGAAAUAGAACUCUGUGAAGGGAGUCAAAAGGCGUGAAAUUGUUGCGAGAGAAGCGAUUCAAGUCAGCGUAGCUAGGCCCAUCAAGCGUCUUCGCUUUGGACUGGCUUUGCCAGCGGUCUUGUCCUUAGAGACUUGACUUUGUAUAUGUGUCCAGCCUGGUAUGCACAGGUAGCCCCUCUGGGGCCAGUGGCACAGCUGGUGGAAUGGCUUGCAAUCGACCCGUCUUGAAACACGGACCAAGGAGUCUAACAUGUAUGCGAGUAUAAGGGUGGCAAACCCGUAUGCGCAAUGAAAGUGAU